rnacentral:rRNA from 1 species
UACGUAGGGUGCGAGCGUUAAUCGGAAUUACUGGGCGUAAAGCGUGCGCAGGCGGUUCUGAAAGUCAGCUGUGAAAGCCCCGGGCUUAACCUGGGAAUUGCGGUUGAAACUACAGGGCUAGAAUCUGGCAGAGGGGGGUGGAAUUCCACGUGUAGCAGUGAAAUUCGUAGAUAUUAGGAAGAACACCGGUGGCGAAGGCGGCCCACUGGCUCGAUACUGACGCUGAGGUGCGAAAGCGUGGGGAGCAAACAGG